rnacentral:rRNA from 1 species
UACGAAGGGGGCUAGCGUUGUUCGGAAUCACUGGGCGUAAAGCGCACGUAGGCGGAUCUUUAAGUCAGGGGUGAAAUCCCGAGGCUCAACCUCGGAACUGCCUUUGAUACUGGGGAUCUCGAGUCCGGGAGAGGUGAGUGGAACUGCGAGUGUAGAGGUGAAAUUCGUAGAUAUUCGCAAGAACACCAGUGGCGAAGGCGGCUCACUGGCCCGGAACUGACGCUGAGGUGCGAAAGCGUGGGGAGCAAAGCAGG